rnacentral:rRNA from 1 species
CUUUGGAGUUGGCUCUUGUCUAUCNUNCNNUGGAACAGGACGUCACAGAGGGUGAGAAUCCCGUGCGAUGAGAUGACCAAUUCUAUGUAAAGUGCUUUCGAAGAGUCGAGUUGUUUGGGAAUGCAGCUCUAAGUGGGUGGUAAAUUCCAUCUAAAGCUAAAUAUUGGCGAGAGACCGAUAGCGAACAAGUACAGUGAUGGAAAGAUGAAAAGAACUUUGAAAAGAGAGUGAAAAAGUACGUGAAAUUGUUGAAAGGGAAGGGCUUGAGAUCAGACUUGGUAUUUUGCGAUCCUUUCCUUCUUGGUUGGGCUCCUCGCAGCUUACUGGGCCAGCAUCGGUUUGGAUGGUAGGAUAAUGACUAAGGAAUGUGGCUCUACUUCGGUGGAGUGUUAUAGCCUUGGUUGAUACUGCCUGUCUAGACCGAGGACUGCGUCUUUGACUAGGAUGCUGGCAUAAUGAUCUUAAGCCACCCGUCUUGAAACACGGA